GAAAGAAAGAUCAUCCCUGCAACAAGAGUACAGCAUCUUUCACUCCAUAUCAAGAGAUCCAAUACAACUUAAUACUAGUUGGACAAAUGCUUCCAAGAGUUCUACGCAAUGAAAUGCCUCAUGCUCCACAAGAAGAAUGUUCCCCAAGUUCCUGUACUUGUAGUUCAACUUUAAAAUGGAAGUUUGAUGUUUUCUUGAGUUUUGCAGGAAAAGACACUCGCUUAAAUUUCACUGAUCAUUUAUAUGAUGCUUUCAUUAGAAGUGGCAUCAGAUGUUUUAGGGAUGAUAAAGGAAUAGAGAGAGGAGCAGUUAUUCAACAACAACUCCUUCAAGCCAUCAAGGAAUCUCCUUGUGUUGUUAUUGUUCUCUCCGAAAAUUAUGCAAAUUCUACAUAGUGCUUGGAUGAACUCGACCAGAUUCUUGAAUCUCAAAAAAAAUUUGGUACACAUGUUUUUACUGUCUUCUAUGGUGUGGAUCCAUCUGAUGUAAGAUAUCAAAGAAAAACUUUUGGAGAAGCUUUAUUCAAACACGAAAAGAGAUUCAAAAAUGGCAAAGAUAAGGUUCAGAAAUGGAGAAACGCUUUGUCACAAGUUAGCAAUUUGUUAGGUUGGAACAUUAGGAAUCGGCAUGAAACAGAAGUCAUCCGAGACAUUAUUGAAGCAAUAUGGAGCACUUUAUAUUCUAAUUUGCCAUCUCAUGAUGAUCAUUUGGUUGGAAUUAACUCAAAGAUGGUUGAGUUAAAUUCAGUGCUAGAGAUUGAGGUGGAUGACAUUCGUUUUGUAGGGGAUAUGGGGUAUGGGUGGAAUUGGUAAGACAACUCUUGCUAGGGUCAUUUUUGAAAGAAUCUUUGACCAAUUUGAAAUGUCUUGCUUCCUUGCUAAUGUUAGGGAGACUUCAGAGAGACAAGGCCUAGUUAGUUUAUAAAAAGAUAUUCUUUUACAACUCAAUAUAGGGAAAAUAAUAUAUGAUGAGCAUUUUGGGAAGAUUGUUCUGAAUGAACUUUUUUGGAAUAAAAAGGUUCUCCUUGUCCUUGAUGAUGUAAAUCAUGUGAGUCAAUUAGAGAAUUUGGCAAAUCCAAAGUGGUUUGGGGUAGGGAGUAGAGUGAUUAUAACAACCAGAAAUUUACACUUAUCGAAAUCACGGAGAGUGAAUGAAAUAUAUGAAGUCAAACUCAUGGAAAAAAAAAUGAAUCUCUUGAGCUAUUUUCCAAGACAGCAUUUAAGAAAGAUCAACCUGAAGAUGAUUAUUUGCUAUUAUCAGAAACUAUAGUUAAAUAUGCAGGAGGUCUUCCUUUGGCACUCUAUGUUUUAGGUUCCUUUCUUUAUGGAAGAAGUCUUGUUGAGUGGGAAGAAGCUUUGGAAAGGAUAAAACAAGUUCCCGAUAAUGAUAUUUUUCAAAUUCUAAAAAUAAGUUACCAUGGAUUGAAUGAUGAAGAAAAGACAAUAUUUUUAGAUAUUGCUUGUUUCUUCAAUGGAUGGAAAAGAGAUGAAGUUGCUCAAAUUUUGAAAAACUGUGAUCUUCACCCCACAAUUGGAAUAAAUAUUUUGAUUGAAACGGCUCUAUUGAUUGAAAACAAAACAAUGAAUGGAGAAGCCAUAUUAGAGAUGCAUGAUUUACUUCAAGAAUUAGCUAAGAGUAUCGUUUUUCAAGAAUCUCCUGGUUGUGUUCAUGGACAAAGCAGGUUGUGGAAUCUAGAAGACAUUGAUGAAGUAUUGAAAAAUGAUAAAGUGAGUACCUUAUUUCUAAAUACUCAUUUGUUGUUUUAAUAAUUCAAGUUUAUCUUCUAAUAAUUCAAGUUGUAUCCUAUUGUACUUUAGUUUUCUACAUUGAAUUAUCAUGGAAAACCUUUUAUAGAUUUGUGACAUCAUAGAUUAAUAUACUUCCCUUUUCCAGUACUUCCUAGACUUUUGAAAGGCGGUAAUGUUGUUUUCUCAAAUAAAUGCAAUAGUACUUUUUGUUCAACAUGCUGUAUGGGCAAAUCACAUAAACUACAUCACCAUCCUUCAUGACUAUAUAUACAUACAAUUCACCACUUGAAUUGGAAUCUAUUGAUCUCCAAGACUCUGUUCCUUGUCCUUCAGUCCAUGAAAAUCUUUAUUACAUCAAUUUUGUUGACCAUUAUUUGUCUUACUUCAAUUGGUUAAUAUAUCUAUUUAAACUAACUUUGAUGCUUAUUUAGUUAUUCUUUAAAUCAAAGUCAUGGCUGAAAAUAAAUUAAAUGCCAUAAUCAAGUCCAUUCAAACUAAUGAGGUCGUGAGUUUAAAUUUUUUGACAAAUUUUUAGCCGCUAAGGGUAUCGUUUAUAAAUAUACUUAUUCAUAUGCUUAUCAUCCAAUGGGUACUAUUGAGAGAAAACAUGUAUAUAUAGUUGAUACUGGCCUAACUUUAUUAUCUCAUGCUAGAAUGCCUUUAAAAUUUUAGGAAUAUGCUUUUCUCAUUGAUACCUAUGUACAAAUCUUUUUCCUCCCUAUGUUUUUCAUAAUCUU